rnacentral:misc_RNA from 1 species
AGCGACUAGUUUGCACAUAUGACUAUUAGCAACACUCUGUAAAGGAUUUUUCUUAGAAUUUCGUUAACGAGUUGCACAAACGUAACUCUAUUGCGUCCCUGACUGAGAUCCAAUGGUCGAAAGCCAUACUUACUUCUCAGUUAGUGUAAUCCAACAUCCGAGUCGUUCAGAUACUUUCCGAGCACACAACAAGCACUGGGAGGCUGCGCCUCGCAACUCUUAACAGAUCUAACACAUUCCACAGCACGCACUGGUAGAAUCGGAGCCGCCACCUCACCGGACCACCGGAUCACUUGGAACGUACGUACGGAGGGAAAUAAAACGAUGCUUUAGGGAUUUUUGUAAAAAGAUAGUUAUAUUUUUGGCAUUGGACUAUGACACAAUAUAAUACUAUGAUAUGCUAAGUAAGCGUUUUAUAAAGACUUUUACAUGCCGAAUAUUCGUUAAUCAGACUAUUCAUCAGAGGACUCUUUAUAUAUAAUUUUAACAAACAUAACUGCUUACAAAAUGAGAGUAGAGUACGAUUCUAGUUUAGCACUCAGGACUGUUCUAGAACUCAUCACCUAUUCGAAAACAUAACUAUUACUAGUUUUAUUCGUAAUAUUUUUCUCACUUUCAUUUUUUUUUUCUUUACUCUAUAGGUACAUAUUUAUAUAAUACAAUUUUUGAACAUAUAAUUAUUAUCGAUAUGAUAUCUUAUACAGAAAUACGCAACGAAUCAGCGACGGUACAAUAAUUUAUAUGAAGCAUCGGUUACGGCGAUCGCAAUAAAUACUCUCGUUGGCGAGCGUGCGCCGGCGUCGGUCGCGCUAUCGUCCGGCACGGAAACACAAUCAACGUUCAAACAAUAUCAACGCACAUAGGUAUUAUUUGGUAUUCGGUUCGUGCGCGGCACGGCGGCGGCGGGCCCGGGCCCGGCGCGGUCGCUCCGCGCGGCACUUAUCACUAACUAAUCACGACAAAACAUCACAGAGACCGGCCCCGGCUACAUGUAGAUCGGCAGCUGCUGCAGCGCGCGCUUGUCGAAGCGCUCGUAGUGGGCGGCGGGUAGGGGUGCGGCUUGAGGCGCGCGCGCGCCGCCAGCUUGCCGCCCUCGGCCAGGUACUCGCAGCGGUAGCGCCGCGCGUCCUCGGGCGCCCGCGCGCGCUGCGCCUGGGCCGGCUGCGGCGGCGGCACCGGCGGGGCGGGCGCCGCGCGGCAGCAGCGCCGCAGCGCGCGCCCGCGCGAGCGCGCGUCCGGCGCCGCCGCCGAUGCGCUGGCCGCGUCGCCGCGCGGCAGGUUGUUCACGAACGGCACCCGCCGGAGGCUCUCGAGCCUCCGGAAGUGCGACGGGUGGAUCAUGAGCAGUGGCUCGAUCUUGACGCCCUGCGGUGGCUUGGCACAGUCGGGAAGCUCGUAUUCGAUACUGCAGUCUACGUGUAAAGGCACCGAGUAAUCCUUGGGGGCGAGCGAGGCGGGCCGCGCGUCCCGUCCGAAGCGGUCGGCGGCGGCGAAGUCGGCCUCGCCGCGGGCGUAGCCCGUCAUCGUAGCGGGCGCGGCCUCACGGCAUG